rnacentral:rRNA from 1 species
CUACGGGUGGCAGCAGUGAGGAAUAUUGCACAAUGGGGGGAACCCUGAUGCAGCAACGCCGCGUGGAGGAUGACGCAUUUCGGUGUGUAAACUCCUUUUAUAUGUCAAGAAAAUGACGGUAGCAUAUGAAUAAGCACCGGCUAACUCCGUGCCAGCAGCCGCGGUAAUACGGAGGGUGCAAGCGUUACUCGGAAUCACUGGGCGUAAAGGACGCGUAGGGGGGUUGGAAAGUCAGGUGUGAAAUCCUACAGCUUAACUGUAGAACUGCACUUGAAACUUCUAAUCUAGAGUAUGGGAGGGGGAGAUGGAAUUAGUGGUGUAGGGGUAAAAUCCGUAGAUAUCACUAGGAAUACCUAAAACGAAGGCGAUCUCCUGGAACAUUACUGACGCUAAGGCGUGAAAGCGUGGGGAGCAAACAGGAUUAGAUACCCCAGUAGUC